GUGUCCUUAGUACAGAGGUUAGUACACUUGACAUCAACAUAGGAGACGUGGGCUCAAUCCCAACAGGACACA